GACACAUGUGCAUAUACACAUAUUCACAUGUGCACAUUCAAGGCACGUACACAUGUGCACAUACACAUAUCCAUACACAUAUACACACAUACACUCGUGCAAACACAUAUACACACACAUACAUAUGACAGAAAGAACCUGACACAGGGUAUUCCUGUGAGAGGACGAACUUAGCAUUGCAUCAUGCAAUAAGACAGUAAUUGAACAACACCCUGAUUACAUGUGGUACAAAUUCUAAUUUUCUAAUUUGUUGUCCCUUUACUUAUGAUAACUGCUUUGCAUACUCGAGACGAAUCGUUUAAAGCUGAUGUGAGUGAGCAUAUCCAACAACAAUCCUAGCGCCUGCUGUGGAUCAGAUGGAAUGUCCCUCUGUCACCCAGGCUGCAGUGCAAUGUUGCGAUCUUGGCUCACUGCAACCUCUGCCUCCCAGGUUCCAGCGAUUCUUCUGCCUCAGCCUCCCAAGUAGCUGGGACUACAGCACUAUAAGCUGAAACUAGAUGAAGUUUUUUUGAGCAAGUGCCUGAUGUAUGAGCUGCACAGAAAGUUCACCAAACCACCCAAAGCCAUUGCCACAGGCAUCCGAACUGCAAGCCAGCACAAGAAGUCGAUGCUUUCAUACACUUUCCAAGAUGUCAGAACAAGGUUCCAAAUCAUAAUAAGAAGUACAACUCCUAACAGAAUAAUGCUGACCUGGUACUUUGAGAUGAUAGCAAAAGACUACAGAAUAUACAAAAGUGAACUAAUAAUGGAUUCCAGGUAGACUUGUCCUGAGAGCCCUUCCCUUUAAAGAUCCUUUGUUGCUUGAAUGCAGCUCAAACAGCUUUGACACUGACUCUUAGCCACCACUGACUCCCAACACAAGACCAGACCAGCAACCAGGACAAGGGACAUUCAAAGCCUAUCACUGAUUGAUCAUCGGUGCUUCUGGAGAGAGAUCAUGAUCGAAAGGAGGAAAUGUGAAAGUUGCCAGAAUUGAAAGAGAUCACUUGUGUUGAAAAAAUCCCUGACCAGUGGAGCUGGGGAAGGCCAUGAAGGGAGGAUUCUCAGGCAUAAAUGCCUGAUAACAAAACUAUCACCAAAGACUCUGCAAAAACCACAUCCUUGCUCAAAGGCCGUCCCCAAAAUCAUACAAAAAAUACUUCUGUGAGGACAUUGGCCCAGCAGCUUCCUGUCCAAUCCCAGAAAGGUUCUGUCCUUGCUAUUGAUCCUCAUAGCUGAGGAUAAUUAUCUCAACACAUAUAAUCCUCCUCAUUUUUCCUUUAGAAACCUUUGUCUUUCUUUACCUCCCUGAAUAUACACACAGCUUACUAUGGCACUUGUAUUUCCAUUACAAUGCCCUAAUUUCAAGUAAAUGUGGAUUUUUAGAGAUCCUUUGUCUAUUGUUAUUUAGAUUGACAGUAUUACAUACA